rnacentral:rRNA from 1 species
GAUUGACCUCGGAUCAGGUAGGGAUACCCGCUGAACUUAAGCAUAUCAAUAAGCGGAGGAAAAGAAACCAACAGGGAUUGCCUCAGUAACGGCGAGUGAAGCGGCAACAGCUCAAAUUUGAAAUCUGGUCCUUUCAGGCCCCGAGUUGUAAUUUGUAGAGGAUGUUUCGGGCGCGGCACGGGUCUAAGUCCUUUGGAACAGGGCGUCAUAGAGGGUGAGAAUCCCGUAUGUGACCCGCGACCAAGCCCAUGUGAAACCCCUUCGACGAGUCGAGUUGUUUGGGAAUGCAGCUCAAAAUGGGUGGUAAAUUUCAUCUAAAGCUAAAUACCGGCCAGAGACCGAUAGCGCACAAGUAGAGUGAUCGAAAGAUGAAAAGCACUUUGGAAAGAGAGUCAAAAAGUACGUGAAAUUGUUGAAAGGGAAGCGCUUGCAACCAGACCUGCCCGCGGGCGAUCAACCUCCGUUCUCGGGGGUGCACUCGUCCGCGAUCAGGCCAGCAUCGGUUCGGGCGGUCGGAUAAAGGCCUUGGGAAUGUAGCUCCCCCCGGGGAGUCUUAUAGCCCUCGGUGCAAUGCGGCCAGCCCGGACCGAGGACCGCGCUUCGGCUAGGAUGCUGGCGUAAUGGUUGUAAGCGACCCGUCUUGAAACACGGACCAAGGAGUCUAACAUCUAUGCGAGUGUUUGGGUGUCAAACCCAUACGCGUAAUGAAAGUGAACGGAGGUGAGAACCCUUAAGGGCGCAUCAUCGACCGAUCCAGAUGUCUUCGGAUGGAUUUGAGUACGAGCAUAGCUGUUGGGACCCGAAAGAUGGUGAACUAUGCGUGAAUAGGGUGAAGCCAGAGGAAACUCUGGUGGAGGCUCGCAGCGGUUCUGACGUGCAAAUCGAUCGUCAAAUUUGCGUAUAGGGGCGAAAGACUAAUCGAACC